rfam:Colletotrichum chlorophyti strain NTL11 CCHL11_scaffold22, whole genome shotgun sequence.
GGUCUAUUAGUCUAGUUGGUUAGGACGUCGGAUUCUGAUUGACCAUCAGCUCCUUCCGUAGGCCCAGGUUCGAAUCCUGGAUGGACCU